rnacentral:rRNA from 1 species
ANGGCCAUNGAGCAAUCAUUGGGGUUAGAUCUGCCCUUAUCGCAAGAUGAGGGCUUCCAUAUACACCGUGGAACUGUGGCUUCGGCCAUCACAAACUGUUAGUAAUGAAUGUAAUAUCAUAACAAAAACAAAACUUUUAACAACGGAUCUCUUGGCUCUCGCAUCGAUGAAGAACGCAGCGAAAUGCGAUAAGUAAUGUGAAUUGCAGAAUUCAGUGAAUCAUCGAAUCUUUGAACGCACCUUGCGCCCUUUGGUAUUCCGAAGGGCAUGCCUGUUUGAGUGUCAUGAAACCUCACCCCACUUAGGUUUUUGCCUAAGCGGUGGUGUAUUGGGUGUUUGCCUUGCUAAAGGCUCGCCUUAAAGAUAUAAGCACCUUGGAUGUAAUACGUUUCAUCCUUCUGGGUGGCUGAUAACCCCACAUAUUCAUGAUCUGGCCUCAAAUCAGGUAGGGCUACCCGCUGAACUUAAGCAUAUCAAUAAGCGGAGGAANA